AACGAACGCUGGCGGCGUGCCUAACACAUGCAAGCCGUGCGAGAAAGUUCCUUCGGGAGCGAGUAAAGCGGCGCACGGGUGAGUAACACGUAGGUAACCUGCCCCCCAGUCUGGAACAACUAGAGGAAACUCUAGCUAAUGCCGGAUGAGACCACGAUCCCUUCGGGGGUUGCGGCCAAAGAUGGCUUCUACUUGUAAGCUAUCGCUUAGGGAUGGGCCUGCGGGCCAUUAGCUUGUUGGUGAGGUAACGGCUCACCAAGGCUGUGAUGGCUAGCUGGUCUGAGAGGAUGACCAGCCACACUGGGACUGAGACACGGCCCAGACUCCUACGGGAGGCAGCAGUGGGGAAUAUUGCGCAAUGGGCGAAAGCCUGACGCAGCGACGCCGCGUGGGUGAUGAAGGCCUGGUCGU
rnacentral:rRNA from 1 species